rnacentral:lncRNA from 1 species
GUGGAUUUGGGGAAUUUCCUCCAUGGCAGGUGGGAAAGGGGCCAGGACAAUGGGGAACUGUCCCCUGCUUCUCUCUGCCUUUGGUCCCACUGUGGCACAGGGAAGUCAGGGGGUGCCCAGCCACUGCCUGAGGUGCCCCAUAAAGCUGCAAAAAGAGUAGCUACAACAUCUGAGUGCUUGCAGAAAGAAAGAGGUUCCUUAGCCUUCCUCCAUCACUCCCGAGGCAGAGUCCUUCUCCUCCUGCCCUCCAGCCUUCGCUGCACUGCGAAGGUGCAGGUCUCCUUUCCGCAGGGCUUGGUGUGCCCCAUCUCUCCGCGUUCUGUCCCAUGUCCCCGCUGUGACGAUUGCACCUCGGAGGCACCGUGCGCACCUCAGGAAGGGGCAGGCUCCCUUUGUUGAAAAGCAACAGAUGGGUGUAGCUGGCAAGUGCCGGCUCGCGGGGUGGGGGUGCCGGGGGCGUUUAAUGAUGUCUUUAAACAUUGUGAGCAUGUCUGUCUCUCACUCGUGUCCCUUCUGCUGUGCCGUGAGGAUGCCGGUCCCCAGGCCGGAGCCUUGGGAAGCGCCCUCGCGGCGCAGGGCAGGUCAGGGAGAUGAAAGCAUGCCUGCGAGAGCCGGCUCCCACUUCCUAGGAGACGGACAUCGCCGCCCGGCGCAGAGGACAAUGGCGGGGUCCGGUCCCUCCGCGUCGUCUCUAGGUGAUGUCACAUCUAUCAGAGCGGCCGCACCGAGGGGAGAGCAGCCAACACGCACGCACACAAAGGGCUCCGCUUUGAAGUCCCGCGCGGGAGCGUGCCUGCUGCCCACAGGCUGCGUGUCCCCGCGGCCAACAGACGGGAGGGCUGCGGCCCCUGCACCUCGCGGGGGAUAAAACCGAAAACACCCGAGAAUAAUUCAGUUUUUAGAAGGAGCGGAGCACUUGUCAUCUGGAAAAAUCAGACAGCAGGCGGCUAAAAAUAGAGCUCCGCAGAACUCCCGAGAGCUGUGCCCGCUCACCCCGCUCGCCUUCCGCUGCAGCCGCACACGGAACCGUCACCGCUUUUCCCUCUGCUGCUGCCUGGGCCCCGCUUUGCUCUGGCAGCGCAGGGAGCUCCGCAUCUGCAGCGCCGGGGGCUGCCCCAUUGCAAAGCUUGUGGCUGCAAAGUUUGUUUACGGCAUUAAAUGGCCAUGAAGGUGAUACUGAAAAGGAACGAUGUGUUUCUGUCGGCUGCACGGCAGUGCGUGCAGCAGGGGAGCAGCAGGGCGAUGCCGGCACCGUCCCCAUGCAACACCCGGGGAAAGCGCGUGCUCCUGGAGCACCCGUGCAGGUAGAGGGGCCCACGUGGCACUGGCACAUUUUAGAGUGGUAGCACACAUUUUCC